UAAAUUAAAUUUCUUAGUACUUUCCAAGGUGGAUUUAUUAAUUUGUGGGCCUGAGGAAAUUACUUUGAAGAUGUCAGCAUUUGCGAUGCAGUGAUGUGAAUGCAGCGGAGCCUAGGAGGAUUCCAUAUAACUACAAUGGGCGUUAGAAACGCUCGCCAAAACUAAGCAACGAUUGUUUUCCAUACUUAUACCGAUUAGCAGAAGAAAAAGAGAAAAAACGUUUAGCUGAUUUACCACCUGAAGAAAAGUUAGUUGAAAAAAUACGCUGGAAAUUGUCACAAAAUAAAAAGUCGACACAUUUCCCACAGUUCAUUGAAGAUUUAGUACGUAGCUUAUGUGUGAAUUUAUCUGCCACGGGCAUUAAUAAGAUGAAAAUGAAUGUAGAGAAUGAAGCUUGGACACGGAAAAGUUUAAAAUGGAGAAACACAACGCAAAAAAACUUCGAAACAAGGACAAAAUUAAAGUCUCACUACGAGAUAUUGAUGGCUAUCAGAAAUACAGCAAUGCUACUAAUGACUAUGAUGACUUUG